GAGCGGCGGACGGGUGAGUAACGCGUGGGAAUCUGUCCAGUAGAGGGGGAUAGCCCGGGGAAACUCGGAUUAAUACCGCAUACGCCCUACGGGGGAAAGCAGGGGAUCUUCGGACCUUGCACUAUUGGAGGAGCCCGCGUCGGAUUAGCUAGUUGGUAGGGUAAAGGCCUACCAAGGCAACGAUCCGUAGCUGGUCUGAGAGGAUGACCAGCCACACUGGAACUGAGACACGGUCCAGACUCC
rnacentral:rRNA from 1 species